UGGGGAAUAUUGGACAAUGGGCGCAAGCCUGAUCCAGCAACGCCGCGUGGAGGAUGAAGGUCUUCGGAUCGUAAACUCCUGUCAGACGGGACGAAGGUACGGGGGUAAAUAAUCCUUGUGCUUGACGGUACUGUCAGAGGAAGCCCCGGCUAACUCCGUGCCAGCAGCCGCGGUAAUACGGAGGGGGCGAGCGUUAUUCGGAAUUAUUGGGCGUAAAGGGCGCGUAGGCGGCUUCGUAAGUCAAAGGUGAAAUCCCUCGGCUCAACUGAGGAACUGCCUUUGAAACUGCGAAGCUUGAGUCCGGGAGGGGGUAGCGGAAUUCCCAGUGUAGCGGUGAAAUGCGUAGAUAUUGGGAGGAACACCAGUGGCGAAGGCGGCUACCUGGACCGGAACUGACGCUGAGGCGCGAAAGCGUGGGUAGCAAACAGGAUUAGAUACCCCGGUAGUCC
rnacentral:rRNA from 1 species